rnacentral:misc_RNA from 1 species
GAAGAAAAAUGUCAGCUGAUGAAGGUGCAGCAGUUGUUGUUGAGGCUCCGGCCCCAGCUCUUGGUGAGCCAAUGGACAUUGAGACUGCUUUACAACUUGUUCUUAGAAAAUCAUUAGCUCAUGGUGGGCUUGUUCGUGGCCUACAUGAAAGUGCUAAAGCAAUUGAGAAGCAUGCUGCUCAGCUCUGUGUCUUGGGAGAAGACUGCAACCAGCCAGAUUAUGUUAAACUUGUCAAAGCUCUCUGUGCAGAGCACAAUGUUAACUUGAUGACAGUCCCAAGCGCAAAAACCCUCGGCGAGUGGGCCGGUCUAUGCAAGAUUGAUUCAGAAGGAAAGGCAAGGAAAGUUGUUGGUUGCUCUUGUGUCGUAGUUAAGGACUUUGGUGAAGAUCACGAGGCACUUCACAUCGUCCAGAAGCAUGUGAGUUCAAAUUGAUUACCAAAAUGGUGCCUGUUGAGACUACAGUUGUUGGUCUCAUUUAGAAAGUUUUUGAUCGUUAGUUAUGUUUAGAUUUGGUGCACUGUUGUUGCUUAACACCUUCAUCCUAUAAUGUGUUUUUCUUUGUUGAUUGAUUGGAAAGACUAGUUUUUAUCUUUUGAGUCCAUUGAUGUGGAGCUCGUUAUCAUUCCGGCCAACAAAACAAUUUAUUCAUCAAGAGUCUCCUUGCCCAUGGGAAUAGUGGAAUGGAUAUUUGUCAUGUUUAUUGAUGAAUUUAUAUUUAGUAUUGAUAAUUGUGGGUGACUUUUAAUUUGUUUCAAAAUGAUAA